CCUACGGGAGGCAGCAGUGGGGAAUAUUGCACAAUGGGCGCAAGCCUGAUGCAGCCAUGCCGCGUGUAUGAAGAAGGCCUUCGGGUUGUAAAGUACUUUCAGCGGGGA
rnacentral:rRNA from 1 species